AGCUCCAAUAGCGUAUAUUAAAGUUGUUGCAGUUAAAAAGCUCGUAGUUGGAUCUCAGGUCCAGGCUUGCGGUCCACCUCGCGGUGGUUACUGCUCGUCCUGACCUACCUCCCAGUUUUCUCUUGGUGCUCUUGAUUGAGUGUCUCGAGUGGCUGGAACGUUUACUUUGAAAAAAUUAGAGUGUUCAAAGCAGGCAGUUCGCCUGAAUAAUGGUGCAUGGAAUAAUGGAAUAGGACCUCGGUUCUAUUUUGUUGGUUUUCGGAACUUGAGGUAAUGAUUAAGAGGGACAGACGGGGGCAUUCGUAUUACGGUGUUAGAGGUGAAAUUCUUGGAUCGCCGUAAGACGAACCACUGCGAAAGCAUUUGCCAAGAAUGUUUUCA
rnacentral:rRNA from 1 species